rnacentral:rRNA from 1 species
UACAUUUGAGUGAGUGGCGAACUGGUGAGUAACACGUGGGAAACCUGCCCAGAAGCGGGGGAUAACACCUGGAAACAGAUGCUAAUACCGCAUAACAACUUGGACCGCAUGGUCCGAGCUUGAAAGAUGGCUUCGGCUAUCACUUUUGGAUGGUCCCGCGGCGUAUUAGCUAGAUGGUGGGGUAACGGCUCACCAUGGCAAUGAUACGUAGCCGACCUGAGAGGGUAAUCGGCCACAUUGGGACUGAGACACGGCCCAAACUCCUACGGGAGGCAGCAGUAGGGAAUCUUCCACAAUGGACGAAAGUCUGAUGGAGCAACGCCGCGUGAGUGAAGAAGGGUUUCGGCUCGUAAAACUCUGUUGUUAAAGAAGAACAUAUCUGAGAGUAACUGUUCAGGUAUUGACGGUAUUUAACCAGAAAGCCACGGCUAACUACGUGCCAGCAGCCGCGGUAAUACGUAGGUGGCAAGCGUUGUCCGGAUUUAUUGGGCGUAAAGCGAGCGCAGGCGGUUUUUUAAGUCUGAUGUGAAAGCCUUCGGCUCAACCGAAGAAGUGCAUCGGAAACUGGGAAACUUGAGUGCAGAAGAGGACAGUGGAACUCCAUGUGUAGCGGUGAAAUGCGUAGAUAUAUGGAAGAACACCAGUGGCGAAGGCGGCUGUCUGGUCUGUAACUGACGCUGAGGCUCGAAAGUAUGGGUAGCAAACAGGAUUAGAUACCCUGGUAGUCCAUACCGUAAACGAUGAAUGCUAAGUGUUGGAGGGUUUCCGCCCUUCAGUGCUGCAGCUAACGCAUUAAGCAUUCCGCCUGGGGAGUACGGCCGCAAGGCUGAAACUCAAAGGAAUUGACGGGGGCCCGCACAAGCGGUGGAGCAUGUGGUUUAAUUCGAAGCUACCGAAGAACCUUACCAGGUCUUGACAUACUAUGCAAAUCUAAGAGAUUAGACGUUCCCUUCGGGGACAUGGAUACAGGUGGUGCAUGGUUGUCGUCAGCUCGUGUCGUGAGAUGUUGGGUUAAGUCCCGCAACGAGCGCAACCCUUAUUAUCAGUUGCCAGCAUUAAGUUGGGCACUCUGGUGAGACUGCCGGUGACAAACCGGAGGAAGGUGGGGAUGACGUCAAAUCAUCAUGCCCCUUAUGACCUGGGCUACACACGUGCUACAAUGGAUGGUACAACGAGUUGCGAACUCGCGAGAGUAAGCUAAUCUCUUAAAGCCAUUCUCAGUUCGGAUUGUAGGCUGCAACUCGCCUACAUGAAGUCGGAAUCGCUAGUAAUCGCGGAUCAGCAUGCCGCGGUGAAUACGUUCCCGGGCCUUGUACACACCGCCCGUCACACCAUGAGAGUUUGUAACACCCAAAGUCGGUGG